GUGCCAGCAGCCGCGGUAAUACGUAGGGUGCAAGCGUUGUCCGGAAUUAUUGGGCGUAAAGAGCUCGUAGGCGGCUUGUCACGUCGACUGUGAAAACCCGGGGCUCAACUCCGGGCCUGCAGUCGAUACGGGCUGGCUUGAGUGCGGUAGGGGAGACUGGAAUUCCUGGUGUAGCGGUGAAAUGCGCAGAUAUCAGGAGGAACACCGGUGGCGAAGGCGGGUCUCUGGGCCGUAACUGACGCUGAGGAGCGAAAGCGUGGGGAGCGAACAGGAUUAGAAACCCCUGUAGUCC
rnacentral:rRNA from 1 species